rnacentral:lncRNA from 1 species
CUGCUGUUUACUUAGUUGCAGGGCUGUGAUCUGGAGAGGCAGAUAGCUGCGGAAGAGGCUGGCUGCUUCUUUGACACACCACAACCCCCAGGUUCGUCUGCCAGCAGCAGCAGCAGCAGCAGUGAGGGAAACAGCGACUCAGCUUCUUCCAGCUCCAGAGGAGCUUGCUGCUGGGCAUACAGGGUUAUCUGAGGUCUCCAUCUAACUCCAUUUACCCUCUCACUGUGCUUCUCCGGCUGGGGCGAAGGAAAUCCAGUCUCUCCAGAUUUCCACAAUGCAACCAAUAUUGUUCUGGAAGAUGCCUUCCUGAGACAGAAGCAGGUGAGUUCAAGGCCAGCUUGGUCAACAGAAGUUCUGGGGGCCAGCCUGGGUGGCAUAACCACUCCUUGUUCUCUUCUCUUCCCUCCUUUUCCUUUUCCUUUUUCCUUUUCCUUCCUUUCUUCCUUCCUUCCUUCCUUUCUUUUUUCUUUUUACUAAAGUGGCCUCUGCUAGUGCAACAGAAUAAUGACUAAAUUGGAGUCCAGUUCUCUACAGAUCUUCUUCAUUUGCUUUUCACAGUUUGGGUUUUUGUUGUUGUUUUUGUUGUUGUUGUUUUAAGAAAAUUCUACAUUUACGCCAAGCUCGAGUGCCGUGAAAGAAUUCGUUCUAGGUAAAGGGAUGUGCCUUGGCCCGUCUCCCAGACAAGCAUUGUUUCUAGUUAGCCUUCUCCAAUCUUCACAUCAUUCCGAUGACCCCUAGUAUCCUUGUGUAUUAGUCAGGGUUCUCUAGAGUCACAGAACUUAUGGAUAGUCUCUAGAUAGUAAAGGAAUUUAUUGAUGACUUACAGUCGGCAGCCCAGUUCCCAACAAUUGUUCAGUCGCAGCUGUGAAUGGAAGUCCAAGGAUCUAGCAGUUACUCAGUCUCACGCAGCAAGCAGACGAAGGAGCAAGAGCAAGAGCUAGACUCCCUUCUUCCAAUGUCCUUAUAUUGUCUCCAGCAGAAGGUGGAGCCCAGAUUAAAGGUGUGUUCCACCACACCUUUAAUCCCAGAUGAAAGGCAUAGCCCAGAUUAAAGGUGUGUUCCUUAAACUCAGAGAUUCAAUCUUCUGGAAUCCAUAGCCACUGUGGCUCAAGAUCUUCAAACCAAGAUCCAGAUAAGGAUCUCCAAGCCUCCAGAUAAGGGUCACUGGUGAGCCUUCCAAUUCCGGAUUGUAGUUCAUUCCAAAUAUUGUCAAGUUGACAACCAGGAAUAGCCACUACACCUUGUGACUGACUUCAUUUUACAGAUGACAGACCUGGGUCUGUACGAGUCUGGUGGGCUCCACACAGUACUUGGUGUACUGAAGCUGAGCAGAAAGACAUCUUUGUUUGUGUGUUUGUGUGUGUGUGUGUACUAGAAUUGAAUCUGGGGGCCUGUGUAUGCCAUGGUGGUCACGAGCUCUGCCAGUGAACUACAUGCCCAUCUCUGAAGACUGAGGAGUAGGUUGGAAAUUCUGGUCUUUCCUAGAGGCCCCCUCUUCACUCUGGAUUAGUC